GUUUCCCUGUGUACUCGCCUGCCCACUUGCCUACGCGGUGCCCGACUUGCGCUGGUGAUAGGAGACCGCCGAGUUCAUGUUGCCGAAGAUGAAACUCCAAUACUUUGGUCACCUGAUGCGAAGAACUGACUCACUGGAAAAGACCCUGAUGCUGAGAAAGAUUGAAGGCGAUCGGGCACCCAGGCCAGUCAUCUGAGUUGGGAGGAGACAAGGGACAAAAGAAAAUCCUUGUUCCGGCCACUGGGUCAGCAUCAUGGACCAUGGACGCCCCUAGAUUCCAGCCCAGGGCCACAGCCAUCAAAUCCAAAGCCUGCAUCCUCCCCGUGGUCCUCACCAGUUUCAUCGUAACUGUCUUCCUGGGCUGAGUCCUUUCCAGGACCAGAGCCAAGAAGUCACAGCCAGGAGUUCUGAGCCUGCCUUCCUGUGAUGGUGACACAGUAGCUUCGUUGUCUCAUGUGUCCUGUUACAUCUGGACUCUGGGGUUCUUUCUAUGUUCAGAGAAACAACUUCAGAGUAUUUUCAAUGGAAGAAAGUAUUAUGGCUUCCUCAGUCUCUGACUGAAGACUUUGGGCGGUGGGCAGAGGCAGAGGUAUGGACACACUCCAGGCUAGGAUUUGCCCCUUACUCUUCUAAAACUGCUGGAAGGAAUGUCUCUAGCUCACACCACAGGCCAUCUUUUGGUGAUUCUGCAGCUGAUAGAACCCAGGAAGACUCUGGACAAUGCCCACUCUCUGUGCCUUAACCUCACUGUCAAAUGUCAGUCCAGACCUGGCCAGCCCUGGUGUCAAGUCCAGGGCUCCGUGGACACAAAGCCUUUCCUCCAGUUUGACAGUGACAGCAACAAGGUCAGACCUUUGGGUUUCCUGGGGGAGGAGGUAAACGACACCAAAGCGUGGACUGAACUGAGCCAGACGCUAGGAGAAGCAGGAAGAGACCUCAGGAUGGUUCUGCUUGUCAUCAAACUGGACAAAAAGGAGAUGAGGGCCUCAAUGGACAGACUGCCCUCCUCCUUGACACCAUGAACAUAACCUGGACAAACAUCGAUCCUCGAGCCACAGGCAUCGAGGAGGAGUGGGAAAACAACCAGGAACUGGCAGAGUAUUUCAGGAAGAUCUCAAUGGGAGACUACAGUUAUUGGCUUCGGGAAUUUCUGAAACACUGGGAGAACAUGCUGCUCCCAGAGCCCACAGAACCACUCACAAAGUCCCCGAACAACCACCAGCCUGCAUCUAUCCUGUUAAAUAAAUGCAUCCUCCCAUUGAUCUUCAUCUUCAUCAUCUUCAUCUGCCUAAUUGUCAUCAUCGUCAAGAAAUGUAUGAAGAAAUCAGGGACCACAGAAAGUGAGAAUCAGGCUGGCCUCUGGUUCCUGGGCAGGUUUGUUCUGGUCAGGACAGCAGAGAAGUGAGCCACGGGUCUAACCCAAACCCCUCUCUACUGGUACCUAGGAGGGUGCUCUUUCUUAGUCUUGGGCCCCCACGCUUCCCAGUAGGUCUGAAAUUACUCUUUUGUUGGGGUAGAAGAGGCUGUGUAGGCACUAAGAUAGUGCAGUGAGCAGAGGGAAACCAAGUAUCUAAUUCUGUGGCAAGGAGGGGAGAGGCAGGGUCUAAACUUUAAAAGUCUGGGGUGGAGUGUUGUCUUGUUGAGAUCACACCCAGGGUUUCCCCAGUUCUUUGACGAAAAAAAAAAAAAAUGUUUCUUUUCUGACAAUACCAUGAUUCAGUUCAACAGUUUACCUAAUGUUCUAACAGCUCUUCGUUCCAUCAUCUGAUGUUUCUUCCAUUGAUCAUGAGAAGGUGGAAAUGUUAGAUGAGCCCUUGGAUGAAGAAUCUGAUCCUUACUGACAGUCUGGCUGCCAGUCUAGUAUAUUCUCCUCUACUCGGAGUUGUGUUCACCAAGAAGCUAGAGAACUCCUGACUUUCCACAGCUGUUGAUGGGCCCUUCCUAUGUAUUGACUUAGUCAUUUUGAACAAUUUGCUAAAUAAGAUAUUUGCUCCUAAUCAGUUAAGGAUAUCAGCUUUACCUGAUGCUUUUCUAUGAGUUCCCUCCAUUUUAGGUGGAAUUGGAGAGUUUGUUGGCACUUUUAAAUUCCAUUAAGAGGAAAAUGAGUUAGGAAUAAAUAUAUGUGGUUUAAUGAGAUAUACUUCAUGUGUUCAUGUGUUCUCACUUUUAUGCACAGUUACUUCAUGCUUUUAUGGCCAGAAUUGUAUUCCCCUGAAUUCAUGUGCUAAAACCCUAAACCCCCAGGACCUCAGAAUAUGACCAUAUUUAAUGACAAGGCCUUUAUAGAAAUAAUAAGGUUAAAAUGAGGCCAUUAGGGUCUACCCCUAAUCCAAUCUGAUUGGUAUCCUUAUUAGAAAAUGGAACAGACCUGGUAUGUUACAUGGAGGGCCAUGUGAAGACAUGGGGAUGAGAUGUCCGUCUGCAAGCUUAGAGAGUCAAUUCCUAGGCAGGAUUAAAAGAAUUCCAGGGACCCUGAGGAGGAGAAAGGGGUCUGGCGCUCUCAAGGAGGAGAUAGGGGUCUGGAAUUCUCAAGGAG